rnacentral:tRNA from 1 species
GGUAGAAUGGCUGAGGUAUUAGGCAAUAGAUUGUAAAUUUAUUUAGGAGGGUUAACCUCUUCUACCA